rnacentral:lncRNA from 1 species
UGUAGUGGCGAAAAUAUUAUCGCCACUUUAAGUUAAUUAAUUAGAGGCAAUUUUUUUUAUCGCCACCAUAUGUAGCCAAAUAAUGACGACAAAAUAGUCAUUUAGUGGUGAAAGUAGUAUCGGCACUUUAUAUUUAAGCUGGAAUUUGAAUUUUGAUAUUAAUAUUCAAAAUUUGAGUCGGGGAAGAGAGAUUGAUAUUCCGCAAAUCGGCAAUCGUUUCAAA